CCUACGGUAGGCAGCAGUGGGGGAUAUUGCACAAUGGGGGGAACCCUGAUGCAGCGACGCAGCGUGGGUGAAGAAGCGCCUCGGCGCGUAAAGCCCUGUCAGCAGGGAAGAAAAUGACGGUACCUGAAGAAGAAGCACCGGCUAACUACGUGCCAGCAGCCGCGGUAAUACGUAGGGGGCAAGCGUUAUCCGGAUUUAAUGGGGGUAAAGGGGGCGCAGACGGCGAUGCAAGCCAGGAGUGAAAGCCCGGGGCCCAACCCCGGGACUGCUCUUGGAACUGCGUGGCUGGAGUGCAGGAGGGGCAGGCGGAAUUCCUGGUGUAGCGGUGAAAGGCGUAGAUAUCAGGAGGAACCCCGGUGGCGAAGGCGGCCUGCUGGACUGCAACUGACGUUGAGGCCCGAAAGCGUGGGGAGCAAACAGGAUUAGAUACCCUGGUAGUC
rnacentral:rRNA from 1 species